rnacentral:lncRNA from 1 species
CAAACUGGUACAUUAUUUACUCUGGCAAGGUUUUCAGCAGUAGGGAAGGCUAUUCCAGGAGGCGUUAGUCUGGGCAUGGUCAGCACUGGCUCAGAGUUUGUGUAAAAUGCAGAUUCAGGAGAUUACUGGGCAUAGAAGCAGACUUUAGGAGUUGUAAGGCGCCUCGGAACAUCAGCCUGGUAGACUACUGGAUCUGCUGAGACAUUCUGUUCUCACUGGAAAAGAGGAAUUGGCUCAUGCUGUGGAAUGACUAACAAAUUGUCCCUGAGGGCUGGCCAGUUAGAUCUCAGAAUGAAGACCCUACUGGGCCUGAAUUGGGGAGGAGGAAUACAGAGCAGGCAGCCAUGCAAGACUUGGUGUGAGAACCAUAUGGAAGGGAAGAAGUAUCCUAGACCCAAGAUGCAAGUUUAUGGAUUGCAAGACAGGAGGCCCAACACUGAAACAGCAUCUAACAAAAGUGCCAUGGAUUUCUGUAGCCUAAAUAUCCUGAAAACUAUGCAACACUUGUCCUUCUCACACUUGACAGCAAGGACUCUUUCUGCUUUUGCUCCAGGCCUGGUGGCCAUGUCACGUCGGGCUCAAGCUUUUUGGCAUUUCAAGCAGAAGUGGAAGAAGAUUAAUGGACAAUUAUUGCUGUCAAGCCCUGCAGGGACAGGUUUCAAGUGGCAGCAAUGUGGUAUAAAUGCAGCAUGUGGAAUACAGGGCCUGAGGGAUGCUCAGCACCCAGCAUUACAGGAUUCUGCCUUUUUCUUGUCUUUGGUUCUGCUUUUUAAACACCGACCUCAGGAGAAGCUUUGCAGGAUGAGGUUAUUAUGGGACUGGACACCUUGAGUCACUUGGGGUGUGGUGCAUGUGGGACACCUGAUGAUGACUCCAGUGAAAGUUGCUGCCGCUCAGUCAACAUCAUGAGGAAGAAUAUCAACUCUCUGGUGUCUGUGGGUAGUUUUCUUCUCAUUCUUCACCUGAAAAGAAGACAACUGUUUCCUUAUCCCAGAGGGGUCUCUAACUUAAGGGUUGGAUUUGAUGGCCAACAGGGAUCAGCUAAAUGUGACUAUCCUACAUUUACAGAUGCAUGACAUCUGUGUCCGAGCUGCUAUCACAGGGCAGUUCGUGCAGAAACUUCUCAGAAAAUUUCUGGUUUGUAUGGUCAGGUACCAUGGUCAUGUGAGGUGAUUCAAGGUAACUGGCUUUCUGGGAGACAAUGCCAUCCUUGUAAAAGGUCUGUAGCAGAAAAAAAUGUGGGUUUUUUUACAUUGCUUCAAAUAUGAUAUGCGGUUUUUCACUGUGAAUAACAUCCUUUAAUAUCUAUAUUUGGCUUAGCAACUACAAUAAAUCUGACUCUGGAACAUAAGCCUAGAGACCG